rnacentral:rRNA from 1 species
UACAGAGGUCUCAAGCGUUGUUCGGAUUCAUUGGGCGUAAAGGGCGCGUAGGCGGCCAGCACAAGUCAGUUGUGAAAUCUCCGGGCUUAACUCGGAAAGGUCAACUGAUACUGUGCGACUAGAGUGCAGAAGGGGCAACUGGAAUUCUUGGUGUAGCGGUGAAAUGCGUAGAUAUCAAGAGGAACACCUGCGGCGAAGGCGGGUUGCUGGGCUGACACUGACGCUGAAGCGCGAAAGCCAGGGGAGCGAACGGG